AUGUGACACCGCUUUCUGAAAAAAGGUAUCAAUUUCCCGUACGUACUGUACAUGUAAUACAAAAUGACUGAAAAACGGCAAACUUCGCAGGGCUAUAUUGUCCGCGUUUUACAACAUUUCGCAACGAAACUUCGGAAUAUUACUAAUUUUGUGAUGCUCUUUCAAGCUGUGAUGAAAUUUUUGUCUAGACUUGUUGAGAUCAAAAUUUUGUUUAUUAGGUAACAGGUCCAUUGACA